UCCUGGCAGCUCAGAGGUGGGAGGAAGGAGGCCAGCGUUGGGGCUGAGCCUUGGCAGGGAGCCUACUGGAAGGUUAACCCUCACCUUGCCGGGCUCUACGGCUCCUGGGAGAAGAGAUCGAGGCCUCCCUGGGGGCCUACCUUGCCAAACGGAUUUUUUUGGUUUAUAAGUUUCCGAGGCAUUUGUGUCCAGAGAGCGGCUCCAGCCUAUUUUGUCCUGUGACUGGUACUUGCGGGGGAACAGGAGAACGGCGGGGGCCAAACUCUGCAGGCCAGAUGGUGGACACCGCAGGUCCUGGAGUACACAGGGGUCCGGGCUCAGUGCCACGCCCCGGACACCAGCUGCCAGCCCCUUGGUGUCUUCUGUUUGCUGCCACCGAGGGGACCAAAGGAAUCUUCUCUUCCUCAAACUCUACGGUUGGACUCAGAGCCUUUACGUCCAAGCGGGCUUAUGGGAGGCCUGAUGGGAAGGGCCGCUGAUGCAGAGUAUGGGGGCCACCAGCUUCCCCAGGGAGAGUGACUUCUAGGCCAACACCUUAUAGUGUCCAUUUGCAUGUGCCUGGCGUGGACAGUUGGUUGGGGUGAAAAAUAAGGACACAGUUUUGAGCACGUGUCUACUCCUGGGUGACAGAGGAAGGAGCUAUUGGAUAAAUCACAGAGGCCUCACACUGAGUGAAAACAGCCCAUCUCCAGAGCUUACAGACCGUCCGAUUCCAUUUCACUGACGCUGUGAAUGGGUGGGGGAGGUGGGGGAGGGGCAGAGGGAGAGCAAGAAUCUUAAGGCUCCGUGGCUAGCAAGGAGCCCGAUGCAGGACUCGAUCUCAUGAGCCUGGGAUCAUGACCUGAGCUGAAAUCAAGAGUCGGACACUUAACCGACUGAGCUGCCACACACCCUUAUAUGAUAUUCUUGAGAGGAAAGCCAGUGGUUGCCAGAGGUCAUAAGUGGGGAAGGGAAAGGCCUGGCAGGAAGGAGUUUUGCGGGGGAGGCAUGAUGGAACUGUUGUGUAAUCUGCUUUUGGGGACAGUUACAUGAAUCUGUCCAUGUGCUCAAAUUUAAACAGUACACCCAGAGAAAAAGUCCAUUUUAAGGGGUGCCGGGGUGGCUCAGUCCGUUAAGCGUCUGCCUUCAGCUCAAGUCAUGACCCCAGGGUCCUGGGAUCGAUUCCCCGCAUCGGGCUUUCCUCUCAGUGGCGAGUCUGCUUCUCCCUCACCCUCUGCGAUCUCUCUCACUUUCACUUUCUCAAAUAAAGAAAUAAAAUCUUU